GAUGAACGCUGGCGGCGUGCCUAAUACAUGCAAGUCGAGCGAACGGACGAGAAGCUUGCUUCUCUGAUGUUAGCGGCGGACGGGUGAGUAACACGUGGAUAACCUACCUAUAAGACUGGGAUAACUUCGGGAAACCGGAGCUAAUACCGGAUGAUAUUUUGAACCGCAUGGUUCAAAAGUGAAAGACGGUCUUGCUGUCACUUAUAGAUGGAUCCGCGCUGCAUUAGCUAGUUGGUAAGGUAACGGCUUACCAAGGCAACGAUGCAUAGCCGACCUGAGAGGGUGAUCGGCCACACUGGAACUGAGACACGGUCCAGACUCCUACGGGAGGCAUCAGUAGGGAAUCUUCCGCAAUGGGCGAAAGCCUGACGGAGCAACGCCGCGUGAGUGAUGAAGGUCUUCGGAUCGUAAAACUCUGUUAUUAGGGAAGAACAUAUGUGUAAGUAGCUGUGCACAUCUUGACGGUACCUAAUCAGAAAGCCACGGCUAACUACGUG
rnacentral:rRNA from 1 species